rnacentral:lncRNA from 1 species
CACAGCCUGCGGCUGUCUGAGACGUCGUCUGCUCUGGGCUCGACUUGGAGCAGGAAGUUUGGGAACUGAGAGGCACAGACAUAGAUGAGAUGCGGGGAGCGCAUUUGAAGACAUCUACAUCCCAUCAGAUGAGAGAGGUUCCUGGGUAUGGCUUCCAGUAAUUGAGCAGCAAAGGGGUCAAACCAAGAUACAGUCUUCGUUCGUCCCUCAUCCAUCAUAAUCCGUGUUCCCUGGAAGGAGGCGUGUCCAGCAUUUCCUAUUCCAGCCAGGCCCCUUGUCAGCGUGUGAGACAUUGUCAAGAAUGCCCCCCACUCCUUGGAAGGAGAGUCUUUGGUAGUCUGGCCUGAAGGCUCUGGACUGAGUGAGACAAAUAGGUUGCUAAUAAUGUCUGUAAACUCUGGACCCCAUUUCCCGACAUUAAAAACUUCAUCUAAAAAGUCUGAGUGAUAUUUACAAAUAGGAGCCUGCCCCCUUGUCCCCAGCUCUUUUUAGUCUGUGACAAAUAGGUC